rnacentral:lncRNA from 1 species
UCAUGCAUGGGUCUUGUUAUUUGACGGGAGAGGGUGUGGCACCAGACCCUGUCACACCGGCUUGCCUGGCUCCACACAUCUGUCAGGUUUGGCCUCUGUGCCUGGGAGUCCCGCUGAGUCACACCCACCUCAGGUGAGGCCAGCUUAGAUACUUCUCUAUUUUGACUGCCUUAGCCUCGAACCUACCCCUGCUCACUUUUGUAAGUCCCAGGUCCAGAAUUGGUCUUUCUAAAUCUAUUCUGUGUAAAACACAUCCUAGGAGCAAAAGGGACCCUUCCCAGAAGACGACCCCACCCCCAUCCCCAACUCAGGUCAGUCCUGUGGAGGCAGGAGGCUCAGUGUCCAGUCCUGCUGGAUUAUUCCUUUCCCAUCCAUCCCCAGUACCCAUUCUUUCUGGUCCCACUAUACUGUUUUCCCCCAGCCUCCAAAGCUGCCUUUCAUGGUGGCCAAUCAUAAAGCUAGACGUGGCACAGAGACUGGCUAGCUGGGACAGUUGGCUAGAACCCAGCUUCUGCUUGACCUCAGGACCCCCUUCCUCCCUCUCCUUUGCCCUCUGUUUCCAGUUUCUUGCUGGUUCUUUUCUACUCAAGCACACUUGGAGAAGUAAGGAUGGUUAAUAAAGGGGCUUACACUGCUGAA